rnacentral:rRNA from 1 species
UACGUAGGGGGCUAGCGUUGUCCGGAUUUAUUGGGCGUAAAGAGCGUGUAGGCGGCCAGGUAGGUCCGGUGUGAAAACUCGAGGCUUAACCUCGAGAUGUCAUCGGAAACCAUCUGGCUAGAGUCCGGAAGAGGAAAGUGGAAUUCCUGGUGUAGCGGUGAAGUGCGCAGAUAUCAGGAAGAACACCAAUGGCGAAAGCAGCUUUCUGGGACGGUACUGACGCUGAGACGCGAAAGCGUGGGGAGCGAACAGG